rnacentral:rRNA from 1 species
UACGAAGGGGGCUAGCGUUGUUCGGAAUUACUGGGCGUAAAGGACGCGUAGGCGGUACUUCAAGUCAGGCGUGAAAGCCCCGGGCUCAACCUGGGAACCGCGCUUGAGACUGGAGAACUAGAGUUCGGGAGAGGAUGGUGGAAUUCCCAGUGUAGAGGUGAAAUUCGUAGAUAUUGGGAAGAACACCGAUGGCGAAGGCAGCCAUCUGGACCGACACUGACGCUGAGGCGCGAAAGCGUGGGGAGCAAACAGG